UACGUAGGGAGCAAGCGUUGUUCGGAUUCACUGGGCGUAAAGGGUGCGUAGGCGGUCGGGUAAGUCUGACGUGAAAUCUUCAAGCUCAACUUGGAAACUGCGUCCGAUACUAUUCGGCUAGAGGAAUGGAGGGGAGACUGGAAUACUUGGUGUAGCAGUGAAAUGCGUAGAUAUCAAGUGGAACACCAGUGGCGAAGGCGAGUCUCUGGACAUUUCCUGACGCUGAGGCACGAAAGCCAGGGGAGCAAACGGG
rnacentral:rRNA from 1 species